UGCGUGAUCUUCUUGCCCCACAGCCUCAGCAGAGACCACAGAAAGUGCCCACGGCAGCUGGCCAGGGUCCGGGAGAGGACCGGGCGCCAAGGGAGGCAGGUUCCGGGCAGACCCCCACCCAUUGUCUCUGCUCGCCAGCCCGCCAGCCUGCGGACCCGCCAGCCAGCUGAUGUCUUGGGUCGCCGACACCAGCUGAAGGCCUGCACCUGGGUAGAGGGCGGAGAGCGGCAGGUGUGCAGCUGUGCCCGGGAGCGUCGAGAGGUGGGCUCCAUUGUUGUUCUAAAGCAAACACCGGCGCCCAACUCCGGUCUUCGGCUUCAGCUGGAGCCUCUGUUGCCUGGAGGAUCCAUCUUUUGGUCUUCAAGGAGGCAGCAGAGAAGCUGACUAUUCACCCUGGCUAGUGUCUCACUGUCCUCUGGGCUUCGAAGAGGUAUGGCGGAGGAAAUAAAAGGCUCUUUGGGGGCUGGUGAGAUGGCUCAGUAAGAGCACCCGACUGCUCUUCCG